CUGGCUCAGGAUGAACGCUGGCGGCAGGCUUAACACAUGCAAGGUCAGGGGCAUCGGGAGUAGCAAUACUUGCCGGCGACCGGCGCAAGGGUGCGUAACGCGUGAGCAACAUGCCCGUAUCAGGGGGAUAAUCCAUGGAAACGUGGUCUAAUACCCCAUAGUAAUUAUGUAAGGCAUCUUAUAUAAUUUAAAGCUUUGGUGGAUACGGAUUGGCUCGCGUGACAUUAGCUGGAUGGUAAGGUAACGGCUUACCAUGGCUACGAUGUCUAGGGGUUCUGAGAGGAAGGUCCCCCACACUGGAACUGAGACACGGUCCAGACUCCUACGGGAGGCAGCAGUGAGGAAUAUUGGACAAUGGAUGGAAAUCUGAUCCAGCCAUGCCGCGUGCAGGAAGACGGCCCUAUGGGUUGUAAACUGCUUUUGUAUGGGAGCAAUAAGGGCUACGUGUAGUCCGAUGAGAGUACCAUACGAAUAAGCACCGGCUAACUCCGUGCCAGCCGCCGC
rnacentral:rRNA from 1 species